rnacentral:rRNA from 1 species
AGUGAACGCUGGCGGUAGGCCUAACACAUGCAAGUCGAACGGCAGCACAGUAAGAGCUUGCUCUUACGGGUGGCGAGUGGCGGACGGGUGAGGAAUACAUCGGAAUCUACUUUUUCGUGGGGGAUAACGUAGGGAAACUUACGCUAAUACCGCAUACGACCUACGGGUGAAAGCAGGGGAUCUUCGGACCUUGCGCGACUGAAUGAGCCGAUGUCGGAUUAGCUAGUUGGCGGGGUAAAGGCCCACCAAGGCGACGAUCCGUAGCUGGUCUGAGAGGAUGAUCAGCCACACUGGAACUGAGACACGGUCCAGACUCCUACGGGAGGCAGCAGUGGGGAAUAUUGGACAAUGGGCGCAAGCCUGAUCCAGCCAUACCGCGUGGGUGAAGAAGGCCUUCGGGUUGUAAAGCCCUUUUGUUGGGAAAGAAAAGCAGCAGGUUAAUACCCCGCUGUUCUGACGGUACCCAAAGAAUAAGCACCGGCUAACUUCGUGC